rnacentral:rRNA from 1 species
UACGAAGGGGGCUAGCGUUGUUCGGAAUUACUGGGCGUAAAGCGCACGUAGGCGGAUAUUUAAGUCAGGGGUGAAAUCCCAGAGCUCAACUCUGGAACUGCCUUUGAUACUGGGUAUCUCGAGUAUGGAAGAGGUAAGUGGAAUUCCGAGUGUAGAGGUGAAAUUCGUAGAUAUUCGGAGGAACACCAGUGGCGAAGGCGGCCAUCUGGGACAACACUGACGCUGAGGCACGAAAGCGUGGGGAGCAAACAGG